GAGGCUGAUUUUGAAGUGGUGAAAUGUUUUCCAUACGAAUGGCUGUUCAGUUAAAGCCACCCUUAACCACACAACCCAGUACAGGCAAGCACAUCGAUAAUCAAUGAUCAAUGGCAGGUGCACAUUUCAAAAUUAUGAAGAAAUAAAACCAAAAAAAGAAGAAGAGAGAAUGAUCAGAUAGAGCUAAUACAAUGAUGCCAUCAUUGCGGCAAAAUCAAACCAAUAGGGAAACACAUAAUCAUCAUUUCAUUCUCUUUAACAGCUUUGCAAACACAUCAGCUCCCUUUUGAAAUCGAAAUAAACCCUAAACCCUAGAUAAUCAUAGAGAAAUAAACCCUAGAGAAGAGAGUCAUAGAGCGGAGGAGAAGGCGGCGAGAUUUUAGCCUUUCACCAUGUGGAGGGUCGUGGAUUGAAAACCCUAAACCCUGGAGAGACAUUUAUAGGGAGAGAUCACUGGCGGUGAUGAGAAAGGGUAUAUGUUUAAGCUCAAAACUCACGAGCACUUAAGGCCCACGCUAACUAAGCCCAUUUGAUAAUUAUAUUGAGUGACCAUAAUAACCUCCUAUCUGUAGCAUAAUAUCAAAAUUAAACUUCUCUUCAAAAAACCAGAAUAAUCUGCUGAGCUUCCGUUCGCCUUCCACGUCUGCCCCUGCUGCUCGCUGAGCUCAAUCCGAAUAACUCUCGCCGCCGCAAUGUAGUUGCUAUAAUCAGCAGCUAAUCAAAUGCCACGCGUCCCUGUCAAGCUGCCUCCAUCAUGCCCUGACCACCACCACCACCACACAGCCGCCCCCGCCGCCGCAAUUCAUCUCCACCUGAAAGCCUCUCUCAGAAAGAACAGAAAACCAGUACCUAAAACGCCUCUUCCACGACAUGUGAUGACAUUAUACAUAGAUUAAGUGCAGCUUCUCUGGCAAGACUGAGAAAUGAAAUUCUUCAAACUGAUUGAUGCUUGAAUUGGCUGUGUAUCAUUUGCAAACAAUUUUUACCUUGAUCUGUAAUCUAGCGUACACCAUAUGAGAAUUUUGACAGAGCAAAGAGAAGUGAGAGUUGUCAACUAUUGGCUGUAAAGUGGAUCCAGAAUUCUUACACCUGUGUCAGGGUAUGAAUAAACAAUCUGAUUAGCCAGUUCAUACCAAACAAGGAUGAGUGUGGUCGAGAAGGAGGACUGGAAAAGUGUGAUAGGUUUGGUCACAAAUGCAAAGCAGGUCAUCUCUUCUGUGCAGGAUGCUGCUCAGAAACUUGUUGAUUAUGCCAGGUUUGGUAGCAAGAAAAUUCUUCUGGUAACACCAUCCUGCUGUGUCCUGAUUCCGGAUGGCUGGAAAAUGUUUUAUUUCUUGAACGAUAUCUGUUGUAUUUUUAGGUUGGCUAUCAAAAGACCUGACACCAGACAGGCUUAAUUUGGAUUUAGCAUCUAGUAAAACUUUAAAAGAAUGGUGUAGAUGUCUGUAGAAUUUUUUGUUUUUUGGGGUAAUAAAUUGGGAUGCAGAUAGACUACCCCAGACUUCCGACGAAGCAAAUGCCCAUCUCCAUAGUAUUUACUCACAAAUGUAGGAACUUCACCACUGCACCUUUGUUAUGGCUGAAGAUCAGGGUAUCUCCAUGAAUGGGCCACAGGGCAUGGAGUUGGCUCUAACCUUUGGUCAUGGAAUUCUCGAACCCCGAGCAUUGAGCAAAGAUAUCAAAGGCCUUUAUCAUUGAACCAAGCAGUUUUUGGUGGUGUGUAAGAAUUCCUGUCAGCAAUGGGGUUAGGUGUUUGGAAGGCUAUUUGAGCGGGGGGUUUUAUGCCAAGACCAAAAGAUUAUGUUGUUAUUGAGGAUUAGUAAUGGUGAAGCAGUGUUGCAAUAUUUGGAGUCGGAUAAUGUGAGAAAAGAGGGUUUGGAGGCUGCCUGGGUGCCGUGAAGUGUGAACAUUGAGUACCAAGAGGUACUGUAUCAGCUGAAUUCGGGUUUAUUCGGAGACACUUGUGGAAGAAGUAAGGGAUGGUGUCUUGAGAAGAAGUCACAACAGUUUCCAAAUGAAACAGAAGGUUUUGUAGAAAAGUGCAAGGGGAGAUGUGGGGAGGGGAGCUUAAUAAGAGAAAUUAUUUCAAACCAAGAUGUCAGAGUGAUGCUAGGUUGGAUGUUUUACUUAAGAAUUACAAUCAUAUUUGUAGGUUCCAGUUGAUAGUAGUCUUAUGGAAGGUAAUGUGUGAAUUGUGAUGUUGGAGAAGCCAUGUAGCAGUCCAAUAUUCAUGGACUGGCUGAUACUAAAUCGUUAACUCUUGCAAAUAGAAUUGGCAACCAUUUGCCUGUCAUAAUUCCCUGAGCUACCGGAUUCUCGAUACCGAGGGCUAAUUAGCAACGACAGGAAAAUCUCCAUAAAGCUCCCGGAGAGGCAUCGGUGCACUUUGAAAUCUUAGAGGUUGAGGUAUUCAACUCCAAAUUUCCCCACAUUAAAAAUAUGAAAAGGGAGGGGGGGAUUGAUUGUCUUCUCUGCAAUCAGGUUUAUGCGGAUAAGCAUCAUGAAAAGAAAAGAAAAGGUCUUUGCCAUUAAGAAUAUAGUAAAUAUUUGAGCUUACCCAUAUAACUGUAAAUAAUGGGAGUAAGCUUCCCCACCAUUACCUACCUUAAAAAGUAAUGGCUAAGCAAGAAUUGGCCGUAUCUAUUGCCACUUCUAGGCCACCCUACCCUAGGGUUCAUAGCAUCCAAGAAAAAGUAGAAAACCAAUGCUUAACACGCAUUAAACACACCGACUGCUAAUGCUUAGCCAAUUAAAAAUUGUAUGCCUCAUGAACACGCUUUCCUUGACUUAAUUUUGCACACAAAGCUGUACCGAACUAAAUUUUGAUGUUGUAAUUCUGGACUCAACUUUUGAAAGUGUUCCUAUUCGUGCAUGAUUGUGGAAACAAAAAAAUAAUAUUAUAUCUUGCUUCAA